rnacentral:rRNA from 1 species
AGAAUCAACGCUGGCGGCGUGCCUCAGACAUGUAAGUCGAACGAUUAAAGCUCUCUUCGGAGAGUGCAUAGAGUGGCGCACGGGUGAGUAACACGUAAGUAAUCUACCCUCGAGUGGGGAAUAACAUCGGGAAACCGAUGCUAAUACCGCAUAAUGCAGCGGCACCGCAAGGUGACAGUUGUUAAAGAUUUAUCGCUUGAGGAGGAGCUUGCAGCAGAUUAACUAGUUGGUAAGGUAAUGGCUUACCAAGGCUACGAUCUGUAACCGGUCUUAGAGGACGGUCGGUCACACUGACACUGAAUAACGGGUCAGACUCCUACGGGAGGCAGCAGUCGGGAAUUUUGGGCAAUGGGCGAAAGCCUGACCCAGCAACGCCGCGUGAAGGAUGAAGUAUUUCGGUAUGUAAACUUCGAAAGAAUGGAAGAAGUAAAUGAACGUACCAAUUUAGUAAGGUCCGAUAACGUACGUGCUAGCAGUCGC